GCAGCCCAAAGGGUGCAGACCUGAGACCUCUGACCAACAGUCAGCAGGGAACUGAGACCUGCUGCCCACAGCCAUGUAAGCGAGCAUGGAAAUGGAUCCUGUAGCCCUGGUCAAGCCUUCAGACACCUGAAGGGAAUGAUCUCCUUUCCUACUUCUGAGCAUUGUUACCUACAUGUGAAUCUUGGAACUGCUGCAGUCUUAAUGAUACCUAAGAUACCAGCCUUGAGUGAUGGGGAUUGAGAAUAAUGCAUUCCGCAGACCAACAGUCAUGUACAAAAUGCCAGAUAUUUUGUAGAUCUGUUUCAGUGAAGACACCACCUCUACUCGAGCAGCUGCAUUUGAGACUGUCAGCUGUUUAAAUUUAUGGUAGUCCACCAUAAUCUUCCACAAUCUAUCUUGUUUCUAUAGGAGCCAAACAGUGUCUUCAUUGAUUCUCGCCACACUUUCUGGAAUAGGAAGAACACAUGUGAUAAUUGUUGAUGAGUACACUGAUGGAUAGAACAUUGUAUAUUUCUCUAGGUCCUAUAAUCUGAUCACAACUUAUUGAGACAUAACAAAGUCUCUUUUGGUUCUUGAGCAUUGUGUGAAGAUGUUAUUUUUGAAACUGCUGCAGCCAUCACGUAACUAAGAGGGAGUGAGACUUCACGGGUGGAAAGAACCUGGAUCCUUGAUGACACAGUUGAUUCAUUGAAUCAACCACCCAUCAAAAGCCCAAUCCCUACACUUGGUUCUUCAUCAACUUUCCUUCUCAGCUGGACUCUGGUAUCUGCAUCCUACACUGAGUUCUGCUCCAUCCUUCAGCUGCCAGCUUUCUUUGGCAAAUUGCCAUUUCCACUCCUUCCUAGGGAAACCCUUUGAACCCCAGUCACAAUUUUGUCUUUGAAGCUUUGAUCUUCACUCCACCCCAUGGGGAAAGCUCUUUAUUUCC
rnacentral:lncRNA from 1 species